CGCCCUAGUUGCUUUUAUUUAUUUUAUUAAAUAUAGAGUCUAUUUAUUUGAUUUAUUGUAUUUAUGUGAUGUAUUUUUAAUUGAAUGGCUUUAUUUUUUUUAAUUAAUUGUAAGGAGAAGAGUAGUAAAGGGAAUAAGUAGAGUUAAGGGGUUGGAAUUGGAGUUAGAUGGAAAUAAUAGUAUUAAGUGGAAUUAUUAGGAAUUAAAUAAGGAAGUGGGAGGUUAAGAAAUAGAAGUCACAAAAGAGAAAAACUCUUUCACGUAAAAACAAAAAAAAAAGGGUUUUGGAGAAAAGGGAGAAGCACCAAGAGAGAAGAGGCUUAGAGAAUCAAGAGCAGCUGUAGGAUUGUUCGUUCAUCAAACCUAAGAUAUUCAAGACUAGCUGAAGUUGUGAGUCGACUCCCUCAUGGUCUUAUGAUGCUCUGAUACGUAACGGGGCGGGUUUUAAUGUUGGAUUGUCCUUGUUACGUAUUUUUCCUUGAGAUUUUAUGUUGAAACCAUUUAGUUGGAUUUUUGUAUUAAUGUUGAACACGUUGAGGCCUUAGAGCCAUAUUUUGGUUGAAAAGAUUUAUGAACACUAUUUCCGCUGCGAGGAUAUUAAAAAUGUUAUCAGAUGAUGUUUGAUUCAUUAAUAGAAAAUUUUACUCUAUUAUUUAAGUA